UUCUCUACUUCAUCCCUAUUGCUUAUUCUUUUGGCUUUCCAUUGACAACCAUGUCAUCCUCUGGUGUGAUUCUGAGUUAAAAAUGUAGCUGCCCUCAGCUCUAUUAAAAAAAAAACACACACAUAUAUCUGCUAUUUUAAAAAAAAUUGCAUAGCCUAUUCAUAUUUGAAGAAAAAGAAAAGGCAGCUGGGGCCUUUAAGUUAAAGAUCAAGAUAAACAAUUAGAUUUUUGGUUUUGAAGAAUACUGAAAUACCUUACAACGAUGUAUUGGAUUUGGUGUGUUAAUGUUCAUUAAAUUGAAGCACUUUAUGGAGCAAUCAGGACGGAUUACCCCUAAUUACCAGAGGUCACUAGAGCUGUCAUAAUUGACAGUCGCUUUUUAGUCUCCUUACACUCUAGCGUAUAAACCCUGAGGGAAUAACAUGCAACUGCCAAGUUGGGAGGAUGGAGAAUGGUAUUGCAAAGUAACUCUGCCGCAGAGCCCGGAGUUGCUUGAAGCUACUGUGCAAGCGCAAUAGACAUUUAACUAUUCUACAAACUGUCACACCCACUCAGACUAACUGGAAAAUAGAUCGUAGCUGGAAAAUAGAUCGUAACUGGAAUCAGAGUUGCUCUUCAAAUAAUACGCUUGGGUUUCUUGAAAAGCUACAGCGUACGAACGCUAACUCUGGUUCCCAAAUAUUUUUUAAAAGUCUAUCUCUCCCUGGAGCUUCAGCGCCUUCCUGGAUGUACCCUGCGCAGAGUUCCCCAACCUCCUCCUGGGACGUCAGCCUCAGAACCCCGAGGCUACUUCCAAGCCGGGAGAGACAGAGGGGAGGGAGAGGAGAGCGAGCGAGCGAAAUGGUCAAGUCCUCCUUAACUCCGGGCCCCCUCACGGGCCUCACCCCUCCUCCCGGGGGCUGAGAUUGGAGAGGAAGUGGGAAGGCUCCAAUCUGUUCCUCACACCAGCGCCCUCAUGCCCCCACCCUUCUCCUCGGCUCGGGGCUUCGGCUCGCCUCAUCCCCGCCUCUCGCCCAGGGAGAGGAGCGGGCGGCGCGGCAGGGCUCGCGGAGAAAGACCGAGGUCCGCAGAAGGCCUCCGCGCGUCAGCAGGAGCCCACACCCGCCAGUCUGCAGGCGAGGCAGGCCCGAGGGCAGCCCCGGAGUCCGCGGCGGCCGGAUGCGCGGACGCGUCACUUCCGGGCGGUGCAGCGGCGGCCGCUUGGAAGAUGGCUGCGCCCUGUGGCUCGGAGCUGCCCGCCAACUCGCCGCUAAAAAUCCCGAAGAUGGAGGUGCUCUCCCCGGCUUCUCCUGGUGGCCUGAGCGACGGAAAUCCCUCGCUGUCCGACCCUUCUACGCCUCGGGGUGCCUCCCCGCUCGGGCCAGGCGGUGCAGCGGGCUCGGGGGCAGCGGCGUCCGGGGGUCUCGGGCUGGGGCUGGGGGGCCGCAGCGCCGCCUCGUCCUCGGUCUCCUUCUCCCCUGGUGGCGGCGGUGGCGGGGCUGCGGCAGCCGCCGCCGCCGCCUGCCGGGGCAUGUCGUGGACGCCAGCCGAGACGAACGCGCUCAUCGCAGUGUGGGGCAACGAGCGGCUGGUGGAGGCGCGGUACCAGCAGCUGGAGGGAGCCGGCACGGUGUUCGGCAGCAAGGCCCCCGGGCCAGCCAUGUACGAGCGCGUGUCCCGGGCCCUGGCCGAGCUGGGCUACGAGCGGACCCCGUCCCAGUGCCGGGAGCGCAUCAAGGUCCAGUUGUCACUGAGGUUUACCCCUCCAAGCAGGAAGGUGCCAUACAGUGGGUAUUCAUGCAGUUCUUAGAUAAUGAGCACCCUUGUGCUGGGUCCUGAAGGUACCGUCUUCAGCAGAAAUAGGCCCCUCCUCCAGGAAUAAGACUAGUGGUUGAGACACUAGUGGGUCCCCACCAGCUGUCUGGAGUGCUGAUUGAUGAUGGCUUCUGGUUGGAUUCCUCCCAGGAAAUUCCCGUUACCCAAGGUUAGGCUCCCUCUUCUGGGGCAGCCUGAACUCAGUGACUGGUCAGUACUCCAAUACAAAGGUACAGACAACCUACUUGCCUCAAUUCAGGGCAGCAGGGUCAUCCAGGUUUCAAAUUCACUUUAGGAUUUGUCGAGGCCUCCAUUGUAACCGAAUUGCUUCAACUCCUUUCUCUCCCCUGCCCUACUCCUCUCCUUCACUCAUGAGUGCUGUUCUAAAGAGCCCUCCCCUGCCAACCUUCUGCACAGCCCCCUCAGGGUCUGCUUCCUAGGACCUUCUGUAGCCUUAUUGUAAAAACUAGGAAUAAUAAAUGUAACUGCUUACCCCCAAUCUCAGCACAUGGUAGGUGUAAGAAAAAUGGUGGUUAGGGUUUACUUUCAGUACAUGUGACAUUGAGAAAAUGAUUUUUUUAGAGGGUCCAGGAAUCUUUUCAUAUGGUGAUUGCUUUUAGCAAUCCUCAUAAAGGUAAGAAUAAAAUAUAAAAAUGCUACCAAAUGAGCUGUAAAAAAUGUAUAGCUUCCUAACAGCUUCCUAAAUAAGUUCAGGUUGCCCAAGGAUACGUGCAUAAAUUUAAAACAUGCUUAUUUUUAGAUUUUUUAUGGAAAAGGAAUGUGUCAGGAUAUAAAGAUAUAUUCUUUUCACACAUUUAUCACCUCUCGUUUAUACUGUGUAAAUGCAAGAAAUAUUUUGAAAUAAUAUUUACCUGGCUUAAACAAUUAAAUGAUUUUUGACCUAAUGUUUGUACCCAGAUAUCUUGAUCAUUUCUAAUAACCCUUUUAGAUGAUUUUAUCUAGAUGUCUAAAUUCUUUCCUUUUUUUCAUAACAAAUACGUAAAAUUUACUAGUGGAGAAAAAUCUAUGUUGUAGGUUGUCUUUGCAUCAAAGAUGGUAGUUUUUAGUAAGAAAAUAACUGCACAACUGUGAGAGUCACAUGAUCACCAUACAAAAGGAAUCAAGUGGCCCAUUUCAGGGAGGUGCCUGCUCUACAUAAACACUGGUCUCCUGAGGAGAAGAAAGUACCUUUGUGUUUGGGAUACAAUACAUUGCUGUAACAAUAAAGCUGUGUGAGAUUUUUGGAAUGUGUAUACACAUGUACAUGUGUGGUGCUUAGCUUUAGGCACUGUUGAUUAUGGAACAAAUAGUACAUAAAGCAAGAUGUUUGUGUGGGAGGCCUUAACGAGUGAUUCUCCUUGCUAUCUUUUUUUUUUUUUUUUUUAAGUUAUCACUUAGUAAUAAAAGUUAACACUUUUAAUAUCAUCCAAAUACUUUUAGGUGGUGCCCUAGGGUGUGAAGGACUGAGAAAACAUUCCAAAGAGAUGCUAAGGUAUCAAUGUCAGAGAUGGUGUAAGAGGUCAGAUGAAGAUAACCUCUAAUCCAAGCCAUUGCUUUACCAAACAACUGAUUUUUUUCCCUUUUAGGUGGAGAGGAAGUUCUAGAUAUAUAGUGUUAUCUGACUAGCUUUGAUGGCUGUAACUACUGUUGCUGCUUAUGUCUGAAAUAGUUAAGUAGUCUAUUAUACCCUAAUUUUGUGACCUGUCUUAUUGUAUUAGAGAAGCCUUUGAGGAUUCCAUAUCUAGAAGGAUUCUUGUAUCUCCCUUAACCAUGACCAUGCAUGCUAGGUAUGCCUUAUCUAGUAUUGCUGCCAGUAUGAGAUUUUGUAUGAUUUACAUACAAUGUAGAGUUAAAAGCUUUAUGGUCGCUUGAGUACAGUUGGCUUGAGCAAUGAAGAAUGUCUGGUUUUGACAAUUAGUAUUGUCCUCCUUGAGGGCCUUUUUCUUCAUAAUCUGAAUGAGUAAGAUCCUCCACUGCUAGCAUGGAGACAGCUAGGAAGCUUAGUAUGUGGUACUCAUUGAGAAUGAACAUUUCCUGAAUGAUUUGUUCAAUGCAACAAUCUCUCCCUCAUGAAGACAUACUGACCAGAUAUAGACACAAAAGUGAGUCGUUGAUAGCCAGAUUCGGGAUGAAGUGCAGCUGAUAGAAUUCAGUGCUGGGCAAUCCCCCACAAAGACUGAGGAUCCAGAGAGGUAAGAGCGCUUGGUUUCUGGUGGUCUUUCUCCUAUUUGACCCUACUGAAACCCAGGAAACAACUGAUCUUUUUUCCUUUUAUAUCUUGACAGAACUGCUUUAUAUUCUUGAAUAUUUUAUUUGUAAGGCAUAAGAAAUAGUAAAAUUUAGACAGGAUUACAGAGUUCCAUUUGAGGUAAUCCCUCCCUGCCACCAAAGGAAAGUAUAGCAAGAAUGGUGGAUAUUUAAAAAUUGCCUUGUGUUUGCUGUUAGGUCUCCUUUGUUACAAAGAAAUUAAUUUGCUUUACCAAUUAUAGCUGUAUCUAUGUUUUCUACCUUUGCUGCUCCUGCUUUUUUCAAAAGAUUUUAGGAGCCCUACCUACCUUGGAUUUAUUGAUUUUUUAAUAAAUAUAAUCCACCACUGUGGUUAAACAAUGAGCUUCCUGAUUUUCUUCUUGCUAGUGAUUUAUUACUUUAAAGUUACCUUAAUUCAUUUACUUAAUAGAUAUAUAUUGAACAAUCCUUAUGUGAUAGGCACUGUUUUGGGCUCUGGGAUGCAGCAGAUAAGGCAGACAUUAUCCUUACCUCAUGGAGUUUACAAUCCAGUGGAAUAGCUCUCUUAGGAUACAUUAACAUUUUGUUAGUGGCAUUUGGUAAUUUUUAUAUAGCAAAUCCCUUUUGAAGGAAUAUUUACUCAUCUUAAGGCCUUGGCUCCUCAUUUGUUAAAUGAGGAAGUUGGGCUAGAUGAUUUCUAAGUUAUCUUCCUUCAAAACUUUCAUGUUUUGGAAGUUGGAACUGGUUUGCCCUCAGAGCCUUGGGCAGCUCCACACACUCCCAUCAAUCAGUAUAUUAGAGAAAGUUUUACAAAAGAGGCAUUUGGCAAGGAUAGUGACACAGGUAGGUAGUGAAGAGUAUGAAGUGCAGGAAACUCAGAUGAGUUAAGGACAUAGUUUGAGGACCAUUGCAACCAUAGUAUGAAUAGCUUCAGCAGAGUAAUAGAUCAGACUUUAUUCCAUGGGGUUAAGGAUUGAAUUCGUGUAGACAUUGCCUACUCCUUUGAGUCCCUUCAGUCUUCAGGCCAUGUUAAAAUGGGGAGAUGUUAGCCAUUGUCUAUGAAGGAAGGGAGUCAAGACUUAACUUUCCUAUACUUGUUUCUAGGUAUGUGAAUUUCCCUGUUCUAAAUUGUUACCUUAGGAGUUCCUGUCGUGGCAUAGCGGAAACAAAUCCUACUAGGAACCAUGAGGUUUCGGGUUUCAUCCCUGGCCUUGCUUAGUGGGUUAAGGAUCCAGCGCUGCCGUGAGCUGUGGUAUAGGUCGCAGAGGUGGCUUGGAUCUGGCGUUGCUGUGGCUGUGGUGUAGGUCGGCAGCUAUAGCUCCUAUUAGACCCCUAGCCUGGGUACCUCCAUAUACCAUGGGUGCAGCCCUAAAAAAGACAAAAAAAAAAAAAUUAAAAAAGCAGUUAUCUCAAGUAAUUUAUCUAGCAUCUAUAUUGAUAAAUUAAUCAUAGUGAAUGAUCAAGGACUAUGUGAUACAAUUGGAACAUUUCAGCAUAGCUUAUGAAUCAUUUAUUAUUGCUUAAUUGCCACUUUGGAAAAAGAUUUCUUCUCCUUCAGGUAGAAAAAAGUGCUAUAUCUUUGUGAAGAGUAAAUUGAUACCCUUGUAUGCUUUUACUGAUGGGUACUGUUUCUUGCAUGAAACUAGGAUUUUGCUAAUUUACCUCUUAAAGGAAGUAUUGAUGCUGUUUUAACUAAAUAAGCAGGUUACUGAGGAAACUGGAGAAAUUGUACUUGAACUGGUCCCAAUCUUCAGACUCUCCUGUAAAACCUAAGACACAAAGUCUACACAAAGUCUAAUAAAUACCUAUUAUUUUACCUAUUGCAUUCUUUUACCUAUUAUAUUCUAAUACCUAUUGUAUUCUUUUAUGGGAGAAACAACACAUAGUAUAGAGCAGAGUUUCUUAAUCCAAGGCUCUUGGAAUGAGCUCUUCAGAGAGGCCAUGUUCCCCUUGUCAUUGUACAGUUUUGUAUGUGCGUUCUUCCAGGGAGGGGAUUGAGGACCCAGACAAGUUAAGAACCUCUGCUCUGGAGAGGAAAAGGAAGAGAAUCUUAAGAAUAAAAAUGUUUCUCACUUGUCAAAACUUCUGUAGCACUAAGAACUGGGGCAUAUGAAACAAGUGCUAUUUUGAGUUUUGGUUUUCUUUUGUUGGGGCUUUUGGUUGGUUGGUUUUAGAGGAUUAGGUGAUUGGCAAGUCAGUUUGCCAGAUUUUAAUGUACAGAAAAACUUAAGAAAGUAGGUAGUAAAGGUUCUACUGGCCCAAAUGGAUUUUGCCUUAAGUGACUGCCUUGUCAUUAGUUACAUCUCUGUAUGUUCUUAAUAUCCCUCUUACUGUGUGCAGAAAUGUUUUUAUUGAUGUCUGCCAUUUCGUAUUUUUUUCCUCCUGCCUUUGUGCUCACAGUAAGAAAAUAUAACUGAUUUAAGAAAUUUUGAGUCUUCUUUAGAGAUACUGAAAUAUACUCAGUUAUUCUGUUGUCUUAGUUAACCAAGAGCAACUAGUUUUAACACGUACAAUAAAGCAGUAGCCUUAAUUUAAAGGAAGAAGAUCUAGUUCACAAAAACUUCUUUUGCUUUACAAUGCAAUCUGCUUAGGCCGAAGUAUUGUUUUUAACACUUUUAUAAACAGUCACUGGAGAUUUGCUCCCAGUGUAAUUUCUGUUGUCUCUUGUGGAAUAUAAUAUGUGAUUUUUUAAGACUUUGUUUAUAAAUAAGUAUAUUCUUUAUUUAAUAAUAUGGGUUAAAGAAUCUUAAAUUUAUCGUAUUUAGUUGGCAGAGGGUUAAGAUAUACUAUGUAAUCCAUUUCUAGUGUGGCCAGUUUGACAACUGCAUUUGAAAAUCUGUUUCGCUGCUUGUUUUUUCUUAUAACAUUGUUUCCUGCUAUUAUAACUAAGCUGUCCUCCCUACAGUUUGACUGUUUUUCAUCUGACAUCUUAGACUGAUCAUGCCAGUGUUUUCAAAACAACACAUUUAUAUGGCAAUUAUGCCUUAUUUCUAUUCCUCCCUGUUUUAUACCCUGAUCCACCUAUAGUCAGUUCUGUUAGAACAGUGGUUUGGUUAUGGUGAUGAUUUUAUGAUUGUAUGAAAUGGGGCAAAUUUUGAGAAAAUAAUUGAGCCAGUAGCAGAAUUGGUUGGCAUAUACCCAUAUGAUUUAUUUUGCUUGCUUCCUACUUUGCCAUACCAGGGAAGAAUUCUAUUCUUCCUACUCCUGAAAGUCAAAGGAGGGAUUGGAGGACACUGAAACAAAAGAAACAUUAUUUUUACCCCAAAAGUAGCUUAUAUAACGUCAGGAAGGGCUUUGAUGAAACUACUGGCCCUACUUAUAGAUCUUAUUUUCCAAGCCUUUCAUUAUUUUAUUUGCCCUUUUCUGAACUCUACAAUUUCCCUCUCUUGUAGCUGGUUCGAUGCCCAGAACUGAAUGCUGUGCUCCAGCUGUGGCCUCACCGGUGCUGAAUAGAGAGGAAGAGCCACCUUCAUAGCUUACAUGUGAUUCCUCUGCUUAUACAACCCAAUACUGGAUUUACUUACUUUGGCAAGAUAGCUGCAUUGUGCACUGUAUUUAAUGUUACGUGUACUGUAACCCUGGGUCUUUCUCUGCAUUGCUACCGUUAAACCCCCAAUCCUGCCAAUCUAAAAACUCCUGCCUUUGUUUACCUGCCCCCCCACCCCCAGACUCCCCUUACAUCCAUCCACAAUGAAUGUCAUCUUUAUUCUCUCAUAUACUUUCACUGUAAUCUUAAACUUUGGCAAGACUUUCCCUCUGUCUAUAAAUUGUCAGUUGUCAGCCAUCUUAUUUUUCUCCCUGCUUUGGUAAUGGGACAUCUUUCACAUCUUUUCCCUGGUUCUUUUCCUUUUGUAGUCUUUGAACACUUGGCACAGUGGAUUUACCAAGCAUUCACUUGGCAUUUCUUCCAAAUCAAAUACCUUUGAAUUCCUCUGAUUUGACCACCUGGUGAAGUUGUUUCCUAUACUUUAGUUCUCUCCAGACUUUCUUGACUCCUGACCUCUGUCCCUCUGACUUCACUUAAGAUAUAGUUUUAUCCUCACAGCUCUUGUCCCAUGGGAGAGGCAGUAGUAUUGAUUUGCUAUGGACAUUUCUAACAAUAAGGAAAUGGUUAUUCUUCUUAAUUGUGAAUGGACUGAUCUUUAAUUAUUUUAAGCAAAUUCUUUCCCCUCUGAGAUCUUAAUUUUUUUAAAAAAUGCUAGAGCUAAGUGACUAUGAUUUUCUAAGAUAAAUGAGGUAAAGGAAGAAGGAAGGGAAACAAGGUUUUUGUGUUGAACAGGAAAUGGUCCUCCAAGGAAGCCAAAUUCAAGUUCUUGUUGGGUUUGUUAUAACUGCCCCAAAUGGGAGACGAGACUUCAUUUUAGAUUCCAGAGCAUUAUCUUAAUCUCAGAUUUAUAGUAGAUGUUUAGUUGGUUUAUUUAGGACUAUUGACACAGACACACAAUCACUUAAUUGUAUACUUUGGUUAAUCAUUUAGAGUGUGGCAAGUGUAACCUUUUCUGACUUAUUAUGGAUGAUAAGAAUUGGAAGGUCUUCAUAUGUCCUUUUUAUCCAUUUCUGAAGUCCCUGUAGCUUAACUAAAUCCCACUGUUUCUUAUAGUAGUGUCAAGCUGAUGUUUAAGUUUUUACUUGUUUUCUGUCCUAGUUGCUAUGUGCUAUUUAAACAGCCUCUCCUUGGAUCUGUGGUCUUUACUGAACCCAGAAGUAACUUCUUUGUAUAUUUAUGUCUUGAGAGAGUUAAAAAUCAAUUUGGAAAUCUUUUAAACAUUAUUUCAAUACAUCAGAUUCCUAUCAUAUGGAUUUAGGAGUUACCAAACAUUUUUUCAUUCAGACUCCUAAUAAAUAUUUUACAUAUCACCAUUACACUAUUAAAGUAUAUUUCAAAAGUACACCACAAAGUAAGGGGUGGCAAGAUCUGUUAGGCUUUGCUGAAAUAGAAAAUAUAUCAUCUGACUGUUCUUCCGCAGCUAGACCCCUUAGAUAUUGCUAGUUUCCUUAUGCAUAAUUACAUAAGCCAAGUGAAACGUUAAGCUCAAUUUGGUGGUUUCGAAGAAAGUAAAUCUUUUCUGUGGUUUUCCACCAUGUAUAUCGUCAAAGACUGGUGGCUUUGCUUACAGUUCUGUCACAUCCUGAUAAAUGUGGCACCUGCCUUCAAAGGAAUGUUAGUUUUAUUCCUUGACUUCUGAAACAACCCUCAGUGACAGAUAUGUUUGGGCUCCUCUGUGUGCUGAAUGCCUUUCUCUAGGCUGCCAGUAAGUAGUGAGCAGUGGCAUGGUUUCCAUUUCCAUAUAUGGCCUUGGAAGGGUGAAAGGGACAUGGCUGGGACUGUCCAUUUACGGUCCUUGGAGGAGUGAAAAGAGUGGUUGGGGUGUUCUUGGAGGCAGAAACUAGACCUUGUGAGAUAAAAAUAAAUUGGCAGGAGAUGUUUGCAAUUCAAAUUCCAGUCCCUGCCAGGAGGGCAGAGGGCACUGGGAAAGGGGAGGGUGCAGAAAGUCACAGUCCGCUUCAGGCAUUUGUCUCCUUCCCUUGGAAGAGUUGCUCGUGACACAUUUCCCAAGUUCAUUUCUGAUUUGUUCUAGAAAGUUGUGUUAGUUGCUUGUGACUAUCCUUUACAAAAGAAAGAAGGAGCACCUUUACAGAGUGUAUGAUCAGAAACCUCCCUUCUUUAAGGCAUUAUGUGAGAUACCGGAAGAGACCUCCAGAAGGGGAGAGUGAGGCAGGUGCCUAUGCAAGGGAUAGGCGGGCUGGUUUUAGAAUGGGGUGACUCUAAUCACUGCUCUGUUUUUUUGUUGGAGGAAUAUCACUGUGUCAUGCUUUUAUUACACCAUUUGCCCACCUAGAUUUCCAGCCUCCAGGGACAGAUCUGCAAAGUAUUUGAUAGUGCCUUUCGGUACUUUGUCACCUGAGACUUAAAGGUACUGCACUUUCAUGGAGGCUCUAUAAGAUUAUUCAGAGUUGUUUUAGCUUGGUGAGAAUAGAUGACCUAUAUUGGCUUAUGGAAAGUCAUUUCACAUUCAGGAGAAAUUUAUAGUCUGGCUAGUGUGUGUAAAUUAAGUCUGAGGUGAACUGGUUUGGCACAGUUGAGUUAGAAAGUAUUUGGGAGCCACCAGAAGAAAAAAAAA